rnacentral:tRNA from 1 species
GCCGGAGUGGUGAAACUGGUAGACGCACUGGACUCAAAAUCCAGCGGACAUCUGUCCAUGUCGGUUCGACUCCGACCUCCGGCACCA